GUCACAAUAAAGACAUUCAACACUUCCACACUCCAUUUAACACCUAACAGUGUUCACGUGUCUUAAGCUCCGCCCACGGACAUUUCAUUUAGACUCCACCCCUCACUUCACGUUGCUGAAAUGAAAAGCAGAUGGAAGAAGUUGACAAUUAGGAAUCAUUUUGCUUCAGUAGUGUUGCUGUGAGCUGAAUAGGCACUGCCUGUGCAACAUUUGGCAAAGUAAGUGAACGCUACGUUAUAUCUUCAUUUUUAAUGAGCUAAUGGCUAACUAGCUAAUUGGCACGAGGAGCCCCCACACGUAGGCCUGCUGGCCCACAGCAAAGGACUUGAUAUGCUGUACAAGAUACAAGAUAUCAAGAAUGAUGCAUCUUUAUUUUUCUUCUUGGGUCACAGAAAACCUUUGCUUGAGUCUUACAUGAAUGUGAGGUGGAUGGGGAUGUCUUUGAUGAGCUUGUCAAGUCAGGUGUUUUGACUUUCAAGGUCCUUUUAUCAGUGACAGAGUAAGAGAUUCAUUUGACUGGAGAUGAAGCAGACUCCACUAUCCCCAGCUUCACCCCAGUUAUCGCCAGUUGGUGGCGAUAACAGGUUCGACAAUUUAUCCUUCAGCCCACAAGAAAGAGGAACCCAACAGAACCAAUGGAUCAGGAUGAAUCAAGACAGAAAGUCGGUGGUGUUUUGAGGGCCAAUCUGAAAGUUGCAGAUAUGAUGGAGCUGCAUUGGUCAAUUCCCCCUUUCCAUUAGAACAGUCAUUCCAGACUGUCAUCAACUGCAGUAAGACCAUGUAAUGUGGGAAUGGUUCUAUCUGUGAUCAUUAACUAUGAUGUGUUUUGAAAAGAGGGUUCCACCAUCAUGUGUGAUGACAAAUUACGCCCUGGAGGUAGAGCAGGUCGUCCAGAAAUCGUAAGGUUGGUUGAAUCCUUGCUCCCUCCACCGAGUCACUGUUGUGUCCUACACUUCUCCUGGCUCUCAAAGUUGUUCCAAGACUGUUUCUUCAGGAUGGUCCAAAAACCAGAGGAGAAUAUCUGUUAACUGGUCAACAGCUGUUUGGUGAGGAAUGCAAGGAGGCACUAUCUACAAUAAGACAUUCAACCGAUGAAUCCGUGGUCAAAGAAGAUGAGAGCAACUUUCCAGUAUCGGCAGAAUAUGAUCCAAGCAUAAGAUGUAUCAUUGUCUGUCCUCAAUGUGUUCCCUCGCUUCCUUGAUGUUCCUGGAUUGGUAAGGAAAUCUUUAGUAUUUGGACGAGUUCAGUAUUAGAUUACCCAUUAUGUCAACCAUUUGUAAACCUGUAGGCCUACAGUAUAUGAAAUAUUCAUGUCUUGUUUCUAGAUUAACCAGAAUUUCUCAAUGAUGUUUGCUGAUGAAGUAUCUCAGAGGUUCCUGGCUAAGUGGUGCUAUAACCAUAAUACUAUAACAAUAAUGCUAUAACCACUAUACAGCAACUUAACGCACUACAGGUAGAUAACACAUACACAAGGCAAUUUCUACUACUAGCGGAGGAUAAUAAACUAAUAAUAAUAAACGAUGUUAACUCUAAACAUCUAACUUUAGCAACACUAUUUGCUGGGAGCCGGCAUUACUCCCAUCACUGGGGGUGCUUCCGGCUUUCCAGCAUGAACCUCUCUGUUGGUCAUUCCUUCAUAUGACUUCCUAAUAAUGGACCACACGGUGGUCUAGUGAUUAGCAUUGUUGGCCUCACAGUCAGGAGAUUGUGGUUUGUAUGUCUGUUGGAACAUCUCUGCGUGGAGUUUGCAUGUUCUCCCCGUGCGCGCAUAGGUUCUCUCCGGGGACUCCGCCUUCCUCCCACAUUCCAAAAAUAUGCAUGUUAGGUUACUUGGAGGCUCUAAAUUGUCCAUUGGUGUGAAUGUGAGUGUCAAUGGUUGUUUGUCUAUAAGUGCCCUGUGAUUGGCACAACUAGGAUAGGCUCCAGCAUACCUGCGACCCUACUGAGGACAAGCAGUACAGAAAAUGGAUGGAUGGUAAUAUUAGGUAAUGUUAGUAAACUUUGCUGGUGUCUCAACAGUCUGCCUGUCCACUGUCAAACGGCUUCUCAUAGUCAAUAAAAUUGACAUAGAGAAAUGAGUACAAGUCCAAAGACUGCACUGCUCCUCCAAGGACUAAUUCGCAGGGAUGUUAUCUGGACAGAAUGUGUUGCUACCUUGUCGUGGGGGGGGGGGGUGCCGCCGUGAUCCCGAGGGCUAUACCGGUGGGAGCUUGGUUCAACCAAGCUGGGAAGGACUCAGGGUAGAGGACAGAUAAAGACCGGCACCUGGUCCUCCAGGUUGGGGGUUGGGCAUGGGGUCAACAACCCCACCAUGGAAAAGAGCAACUUUACCGGUUUAUAAGUGUAGCAACAGUGGAAACUCCAAAGUGGGACAUAAUCCAGGUUGACUUUCAAGUUAAAAAUAGCGCAAAAAGCGAGUUCUUCAAUUCCAGUGUCCAACUGUGGUCAUCCUAAGACAUUUUUUAAGUGUAUCGUCAAUGUUUCAUGUCACAUUUUGACAUUCUUAUCUGUCACACAAGUGUAAAAAGAAGUUAAGCACUGUA